GAACUCUCUAGAAUUUAGUAUUUUAGAGAUGACAAAUUAAAAUUUUUAUAUAUCAACACCUUAAUUGUUAAUUAGAACUAUAAUUUCAAAUGAAGGAACCAAAGAGUACUUCAUAAAAAUAAAUAUUAUGAAACAAAAAAAAAUCAGUAUAAAUUCUCACGACAUGCCAGAAGAGAUUAAAAAACUACAACAAGCAUAACAUUCGAAUUAGACAAGCACAAUGUGACCCCUCAAGUAUUCACAUUGCCAUCAUUCAAAAAUGGAUAGAAUUCACAGAUGACAUCCUAGAAGAAAGCAGUUUGAGGAAGCUAAAUUUCAUUAGACACUAGAGUGCAGCAAUUAAUCAUAAUCGAUCAAUCAAAAUAUUUUAAUUCUCCUCAGACACUGCACUAAAUAAUCACAAACUAGCUUUGCAAAUCCAUCUGAAAUCAAGAUCUAGGUUUUCAUCAACUUUCAUGAGAAUCUACAACCUUACAGCUUAGUUUUUCAAAAAUACAUCACUGACAUCAUAAU
rnacentral:misc_RNA from 1 species